UACGUAGGAUGCGAGCGUUUUCCGGAGUUAUUGGGCGUAAAGCGCACGUAGGCGGUGCGGUAAGUGUGGUGUGAAAUCUGCGGGCUUAACCCGCAGCGGUCGCUGCAGACUGCCGUGCUUGAGGGCUGGAGAGGAAGAUGGAAUUCCCGGUGUAGUGGUGAAAUGCGUAGAUAUCGUAAGGAAGACCAGUGGCGAAGGCGGGUCUCUGGACAGUUCCUGACGCUGAGGCACGAAGGUCAGGUGAGCAAACGGG
rnacentral:rRNA from 1 species